AUGAGAUGAGUCUUUGGGCAGGACUGGGAUUCUCAGUUCUAAGCCCUGGGCUUUCCUGUGCAGGGAGGAGCUCUGGCAUAGAGAUGAAAGUCUUAACGUGAGUAGCUCUCUCUCCCGCUCUGUCUUUUCUUCCCGCAUCAACCCCUUCCAUUCCCAGGGAGGUGGGAUCACACAGAUGAGCCAAGCAUAGGAACGAGAUGAAGCAAACCCUAAGCAUGUACUUCAUGUGACCGGACACAUCCUGAACGCACAUACAGUUGUGCUUCCUUUUUUUAGAUGAAAUAUAAUUGAACCAAAGUUUCCUUCCAGAUAAACAAGACUAGCAAUUAAUUAAUCUGGACCAGCAGCACCCAAGUCUUAUUUGAAUGCAACUCAGAGUUUAGAUUCUUUAGACUUUGUAUUGGGGAAGCAGAGGCUUCCGUACUUUCUCAGCAGGAACAAGAAGACCAUCCUUGCCCCUGGGGACGAGUGCCCCUCUCCUGCCCUCGUCCAUGGUUGGCAGAAGACACAGUGCAGAGGGCAGGUGCAAAGUGACAACAUUACAAGCAAAUGAUUUCCAAGUACCCAACCCAUCCGCUCACUGUCUGGAAAUGGCUGUGGUGCAGAAUUAUUUUCUCAAAAUUCUCUUCUUGGACCCGAUAACAUAUAGUUAACCAAACCUGUACCUCCUCACCAGGGCAAAUCUAAAUUUUGGACUUUAAGAAAUAUUCAUGAUGAGAAAACAAAAUAUAACUCAGGUUGCCAGGUAGACUGAAGUCUAGUCCCUUGUCCUAGGGAACAUUACCGUGUACAGCCAAAGCCCAGUGCAUUAUCCUAUAAGUGGAUUAUCCUAUAAGUGGAUUAUCUUAUAAGUGACUGCAACCUGGAGGGACUCCUGCAGCAUCCUCAUUCAUAACAUCUGUCUGUUCUGGUAUCAUAUUGUGCCACUUAUUUCUAGCUAGCGUUUUGGAUUCCAGCAAUUCUUCAGUCUGGACCUAUAGUCGCUCACAUAACUGUCUUUCUCUGUUUGCUUUGCAUGACCCCCACUUCUUCCUUGUUGUUCCAAGAGACUGCAGUCCAUUGUCAAAAAUCACCUUUGACCCCUCCCCAUCUCUCUGGGUCAUAGUCUCUUAGAUUAGUCACCAUCUUGGCUCAGUCCAGCUCUUUCGCCACAUGUGUGUCUACACAGGUGAAUGUGGCUGGAGUCAAAUGUAUAAUUGUGCUCACUGGUCUCAGUUUAAAUAAAAACCCUGGAGACUCAGAAGGGAGGGCAGAGGUCAACCUCAGGUGUUAUGCCUUGUGCACACUAGAUAAGCUGUGUACCGCUGAGCCACGUCUCCAGCCCCGAACUACUUCUAUGUUUAAAUGAAUCUUGGCAAGUCCAUUUGGACACCUGAUAAACAUUUUAAACAUGGCAGCUAUAAAAAUGGGCUCCUCACCACAUCCCCUAAACCUGCUUUGGCAACUGUACCUUCCACUUGUUUAUGCCAAAACCCAUUUUCUCAUACACUUAACAUCUGAUAUCUCAGCAAUUCCCAUUGACCCUGUGUUCAAAAUUGACUCAGAACCUCAUUUCUCACUGCUUCCUUGCUGUCAAACCGUUCCAGGCCACAUUCCCUCUUGCCUGGAAUUUGGCAGUCUUUCCCCAGCGGCUCUCUGUGUUUCUGAUCUUACAGACUGCAAUGAACAGAGCAGCCAGUGGGAUCAGUUUAAAAUAGGAGUUAGACUCUGCCACUUUCCUGUUUGCACCCUACAGGGCCUUUAUAUUCAGUUUGGCGGGAGACAGCCACUUCUGGCCUCCUAUUGGCUCUACUGUGAUGACCCUGGACCCUCCAGGUCGGGCACAUUCCUUUCUUAGCCACAUCCCUUGCUCUCUCUGCUUGGAAUGCUCUCUCCGUAAUACCUACCUGGCUCAUACUCAUUGUUCCUUUAGGCAGAUGUGAGUCUGGGAACCCAGAAGCCUCUUACACAAAGACUUCUGUUACCACUACUUUUAACCCCAGCAGAUAUGCACAAACUCCAGCUCAUUUUUUAUGUCCCCCUUGCUGGGCUGUCCUGGCAUUUAGGACAGGGACUUGCUGCACCUAUGGCAUGUAUGCAGUAGGAAAUCAGCAAAUAUUCAGUGAAGGAGUGAAUGACUGGAAGGCUCACAGUGAAAGCUUUUGCCCAAAUAGAUGGAAACAUUGUAUCAAAUAGGUUUUGUCUUAGAAGCUGCAGGUGCAGUGUUGGAUACUGAAGAGAGGCUGAGAUAAGAAGGCCUGGACAUGGUCACUCGAUCUUCAGAUGGUCACUGCUGACCUUAGAGAGAGCACUUUAGCUGGUGGUUACCCUUAUGCAGGCUUCAGAGGAGCUCGGAUCGGGGAGGAACAGACAGAGAGGACUCAGAGCAUGAAGGAGGGAGUGUUUACACUUCAUAGGUCCAUGCAGUUUGGUCACUCUGUAGAUAUACAUGCUCUGUGAGUGAGAGUGGUAUUGCUGGGUUCUACAGCUCAGCUGCUUCUCUGUGCCCCACUGACACGUGUUCAGGGGGCGAGACAACAUUAUACUAGCAUCCUACAAAUAAUAUGGCGAAGAUUAUAAAUCUUCUCUCCUCUUAUGAUCAAAUGACAAUGACCACAAACUCACUUCAUAAUUUAUCCCAAAACUGGACAGUCACUUGGGGUUGCUCCGUUCUCUCUAACACAUUCUCUCGGCACAAACAUUAGGAAGGUUAACUAACAUCAGGCUGCUGCUUAAACUUUCUCAUAGGCAGCUCCUGAUGGAGGUCAGAAUCAGUUUGGUAAAAAGUCAGACUAUAGAACAUUUACUAGUAAGAGUGAAUACCCAUGGUAACAUUGUAUAUUGGUCUGGCUGGUGCUUGCACCUAACCAAGGUUUGGAGACGGCCGUAGUAACACUAACUGCACACAGGAAAGAUUCAGGAAACCUGCUCAGAGGCGGGCCAGAGGCUCUCAUCCAGGCCACCCAAUUUCAGUCUACUAUCCAACCUCAGAUCUAAGUAUUUCUGGCCUCAUUUCCUGCAGGUCAAGGGUGAGAGCUAGGGGGUUUGGCCAUCAGCUAAGCACACUCCUGUGGAGCAGGCAGAGGCAGGUGUAAAACUUGGGUCUCUGGGCUCACAACCUAAAAUGUCUCUUCUCAGCACUCUCGUUUGUAACUGGGAACAGCUAGUGUUUGCUGAUAAAUCAAUUGAAAUGUUGGGUGGAUCUUAAAAUAGAUUGUUUGCCUCUCUCUCUCUGUCUCUCUGUCUCUGUCUCUCUCUCUCCCCCUCCCUCCCUCCUUCCCUCUCUCCUUUCUUUUUUAUUUCAUGAUACAAGAUGGACUUCAUUCUAGUAAGGUGGGCUGGGAACGGAUAGGUUUUUCUGGGAGCUUCCGUAGGUGAGGGGCUGGGUGUGGCACCUGACACCUGGGCCCUGCCAGACUGUAACCUGCUCUUCCACACAGGUGGACGGCUCUUGGGCCAAGUGGGAGCCCUACGGUUCCUGCUCCCGCACCUGCGGUGGGGGCGUGCAGCUGGCCCGGAGGCAGUGCAGCAACCCUACCCCUGCCAACGGUGGAAAAUACUGCGAGGGAGUAAGAGUGAAAUACCGAUCUUGCAACUUGGAGCCCUGCCCCAGCUCAGGUGAGACACAGGGCAGCAGUAGCCUGGGCCUCUCUGGGCUGUGUGCCUGGAGGUUACCCUUGGUCACAAAUACUGUUGUCAGGAUCCUAAUUCCCAGGAAAGAGCUGGAAUGAGAAAAGUGCAGACUGCUCUUGGCAUCAUUCCGUUAGCUACUCAACUCUGGCAAAGGUGUUUGCUUUUUGGUGCUCAGUCUGGGAGACUAACUGAAUGGAGGGGUGGGUCUUUAGAAGUCUUCAUAGUUUUUACAUUACUACUUUUCCUUUUUUUAUAAGGCCACCUUUUAAGCAGGAUUCCAGAGUCCAUGAACUCGAUGGGAAAUUUUUACAUUUUAAUUUUCAAUGAUUCUUCUAUCUAAAACUUAGUUUCCCCUCAAAUUAGAAAUUUAGCACUUUAUUUUUUUUGAAACAAGGUUUCACUGUGUAUCCCCCUGGCUGGCCUUGAACUCACAAAGAUCUGCCUAUGGAGAUCUGAGAUUAGAGGCAUGCACUACCACGCAGCCCAGCACUUUUAAAUUAAUCUUUUCCUCUAAAGACCAAUAAUUUCCUUCACGUAGGCAACAAAGGACAGUAGAAGUAGAAAUAUCUGUGACUUUGUCAUAAAUUGAAACUAUGAGUAUUUUCUUACAUGGUACUUCAAUUGUUGAAGAAUUCUCAAAAUGCCAUUAUGCUCCUCCUUACGUCAAAACACAGAAAUUAUUUGUGCCAUCAUUGAAUAUUGUCUUUUUUUAAAAACGCAUUACAAAGAAUACAUCCAUCAGAAGUAUGUUUCAAAGUAUAUCAGUAGUUGUUUAAUUCUUGUUACUUUGUGUAAGGUGUUUAACAGUGUAAUGAGAAGAGACUUAAUAGGCUGCUGAAGGGCUUCAUCAU
rnacentral:lncRNA from 1 species